UGGAAAGAUUAAUGUUAUUCAAUUUAUAAUUGUCUUUCCUUUCUUCAAGGCUGUGUCUAAGAAUUGCAGCACUUACAGCAUGUCAGGGGAAUGAAAAGAUUUCAGCCUCUCUACGAACAGGAAUCCAGCAAGAUAUCUUUGUGCUUGAUCCACAAGACCUCUUCAAUUCAGAGGUUUUAUACCUUACUUCAGGACCACAGCGAAGGGCCUAAGAACCAAAGUUCUGCUCCCUUGUACCUCUGGGACAUGGGAAAGUGUACAGGUUCUGUUUUCACCUCCCAUGCCAAGCCCUCUCCAGUGCCUGAAUACAUCCCUGGGAUCCUGACCACUUCUCAAUCAAGAAUUAUAGAGCUGUACAGAAAGAUCAGCACCUACUCUUUUUCGUCCCUUCCCCGCAGAGUCCUUAGUGUUCGUAGCACACUCUUGGAAAGUUCUUCAGUGGCAGUUGGUGCACAGGUUAAGAGCUGAGCCACGGGUUCCAGACUGAAAUCGAACCUG
rnacentral:lncRNA from 1 species